rnacentral:tRNA from 1 species
GGAGGGAUGGCCGAGUCUGGCUAAAGGCGGCAGUCUUGAAAACUGCUGUGGCGUAAGCCACCGUGGGUUCGAAUCCUACUCCCUCCG